rnacentral:rRNA from 1 species
UACGGGGGGGCAAGCGUUGUUCGGAAUUACUGGGCGUAAAGGGCUCGUAGGCGGCCAACUAAGUCAAACGUGAAAUCCCUCGGCUUAACCGGGGAACUGCGCUUGAUACUGGAUGGCUUGAGAUUGGGAGAGGGAUGCGGAAUUCCAGGUGUAGCGGUGAAAUGCGCAGAUAUCAGGAGGAACACCGAUGGCGAAGGCAGGUCUCUGGGCAUUAACUGACGCUGGAGGAGCGAAAGCAUGGGGAGCGAACAGGAUAGAAACCCG